rnacentral:rRNA from 1 species
GNCCUUACGGGUAGAUCUCCCACCCUANGUUAUNAUUACCUUUGUUGCUUUGGCGGGCCGCCAGGCUUCGGUGAGGCUAUCGGCUUCGGCUGGUACGCGCCCGCCAGAGGACCCUAACAUUCUGAUUAUCAGUGUCGUCUGAGUACUAUAUAAUAGUUAAAACUUUCAACAACGGAUCUCUUGGUUCUGGCAUCGAUGAAGAACGCAGCGAAAUGCGAUAAGUAAUGUGAAUUGCAGAAUUCAGUGAAUCAUCGAAUCUUUGAACGCACAUUGCGCCCCUUGGUAUUCCGAGGGGCAUGCCUGUUCGAGCGUCAUUACAACCCUCAAGCAUUGCUUGGUCUUGGGCUCCGCUGCUCACCCAGCGGGCCUUAAAAUCAGUGGCGGUGCCGUCGGGCCCUGAGCGUAGUACAUCUCCUCGCUACAGGGACCCGAUGGACGCUGGCCAUCAACCCUCACUUUCUCUAAGUUUGACCUCGGAUCAGGUAGGGAUACCCGCUGAACUUAAGCAUAUCAAUAAGCGGAGGAAAAGAAACCAACAGGGAUUGCCUCAGUAACGGCGAGUGAAGCGGCAACAGCUCAAAUUUGAAAUCUGGCUCUUUCAGGGUCCGAGUUGUAAUUUUGUAGAANAUGCUUCGGGUGUGGCUCCGGUCUAAGUUCCUUGGAACAGGACGUCAUAGAGGGUGAGAAUCCCGUAUGUGACUGGCUGCCUUCGCCUGUGUGAAGCUCNUUUCGACGAGUCGAGUUGUUUGGGAAUGCAGCUCAAAAUGGGUGGNNAAUUUCAUCUAAAGCUAAAUAUUGGCCAGANACCGAUAGCGCACAAGUAGAGUGAUCGAAAGAUGAAAAGCACUUUUGGAAAGAGANUUAAACAGUACGUG